AAACGUGACAUGACCAACUCUGAUAAUGACAGGACCAACAUCGAGAAUGACAGGACCAAAUCAAAUUGCUAAUAACUUUUUUGUUUUUUAAAGGAAUUAUUUCAGAUUUGAAAUAUAAAAUGGUAUGUCAUAUUUUGAAACCAAAAUGUUAUAAAAAUUAUAGAUUUAUUUUCAAAAACUUUCGAAAACGUGACAUGACCAUCGCUGAUUGACAGGACCAACCUCGACAAUGACUGGACCAG
rnacentral:lncRNA from 1 species